rnacentral:rRNA from 1 species
UACAGAGGUCUCAAGCGUUGUUCGGAUUCAUUGGGCGUAAAGGGUGCGUAGGUGGCGGGGUAAGUCAGGUGUGAAAUCUCGGAGCUCAACUCCGAAACUGCACUUGAUACUGCCUUGCUAGAGUACUGGAGAGGAGAUUGGAAUUUACGGUGUAGCAGUGAAAUGCGUAGAUAUGACAUAGAACACCAAUUGCGAAGGCAGCUCACUAAGCAGGUAUUGACGCUGAGGCACGAAAGCGUGGGGAUCAAUCAGG